AAGGACGGCGGUGGGAGCUCGAACAAGGACAAUAGAGAUAUAUCCCUACUGGGCGUUCCUCCUGACGAAGUCCGGGGAAGAGGGAGGAGAACUCCCUGGAGAACCACUGCGGCUGCUGGUGCUGAGGUUCUCAUAAUAACCCAUGAUUGUCCAGUAGCUCUUGCGGGCUCUUUGGACAUCUUGGUCACUCAUUUUUGGUUUUUCUUCGGCAUAACUCUGAGGCUUUCUUUUGUUGAUUAGCGAAAUGUAAUCAAUGGAUCAGACACUAUGCGCUAUGUAUCCAAGCCUUCCACAAGUUGAUGCGUUGUCCUGGGCCGCCAUGCCACCUAAGGCGAUACUGUUUGCAAGACCCCA
rnacentral:sRNA from 1 species